rnacentral:rRNA from 1 species
GAGGAAGUAAAAGUCGUAACAAGGUUUCCGUAGGUGAACCUGCGGAAGGAUCAUUAAUCGAAUGAACAUGUUUCCCAGCAUGAAACUUCAAAACCCCACCUGUGUAUCUUACCUGUUGCUUCCGUGCCGCACACGCCUGCGAAGGGGUGCCUCCUGGUCCGGAAUACCGCGUACUGCGGGCCCUGGGGAGUCGGCACGCUUGGUUAACCGUAAAAACUCUUGCCUUUGAAUGUCUUCUGUCUGAACUGUAUUACGUAAAAAGUUAAAACUUUCAACAACGGAUCUCUUGGUUCUCGCAUCGAUGAAGAACGCAGCGAAAUGCGAUAAGUAGUGUGAAUUGCAGAAUUCCGUGAAUCAUCGAAUCUUUGAACGCACAUUGCGCCUCCUGGUAUUCCGGGAGGCAUGCCUGUUCGAGCGUCACUAGAAUCAACUCACGCACUUUUGCGUGGUCGUGGAGGAAGAGUCCGUCUUGCUGCGGUCUCCCCCCCGAAAAUCAACGGCGGAAAGUCACUGGCGCCUGGCGUAGUAGUAUUGUUCGCCGUUCAACCAGUGUCGUUCCUGCCGGCAAACCCCCCCACAGUUCUCUUGAUUGACCUCGGAUCAGGUAGGGAUACCCGCUGAACUUAAGCAUAUCA